rnacentral:lncRNA from 10 species
CAGCCCACCUCCAGGUGAUCCACUUCUUUCCCCGCUCCUCUUUUUUUCCCAUGGUUUCUGACACUUGGCCCCACCCAUCAUUUUCCAUUUAGUUGCGGGCAGUCUUCUUAUCUUCAAAAUGUUUUUCUUCACUUGCAGAGGGAAGCCUACUCCUGAAUCAAGUCGUUGGUUUUCUGUGUGUGGAGGGAACCUCUGCCAGGAGCCCAGCUGCUUUCGGACCCUUGCCACCCAGUCUCAGCUUGCAUUUCCGAGUUUCCACUACGGGAAUAGAUUCCUUGGAAGGAGCCUUGCUUCUUUUGGGCGGUCUCAUUUUCUACCCUCACCUAGUUAA